UACGUAGGGGGCAAGCGUUGUCCGGAAUCAUUGGGCGUAAAGCGCGUGUAGGCGGUUCGGUAAGUCCGCUGUGAAAGUCGGGGGCUCAACCCUCGGAUGCCGGUGGAUACUGUCGAGCUUGAGUACGGAAGAGGCGAGUGGAAUUCCUGGUGUAGCGGUGAAAUCGCGCAGAUAUCGGGAGGAACACCAAUGCGGAGACGAGCUCGCUGGGACGGUACGUGACGCUGAGGCGCGAAA
rnacentral:rRNA from 1 species